CAGGUGGUGCAUGGUUGUCGUCAGCUCGUGUCGUGAGAUGUUGGGUUAAGUCCCGCAACGAGCGCAACCCUCGUUCUAUGUUGCCAGCACGUGAUGGUGGGGACUCAUAGGAGACUGCCGGGGUCAACUCGGAGGAAGGUGGGGACGACGUCAAAUCAUCAUGCCCCUUAUGUCUUGGGCUUCACGCAUGCUACAAUGGCCGGUACAAAGGGUUGCGAUACUGUGAGGUGGAGCUAAUCCCAAAAAGCCGGUCUCAGUUCGGAUUGGGGUCUGCAACUCGACCCCAUGAAGUCGGAGUCGCUAGUAAUCGCAGAUCAGCAACGCUGCGGUGAAUACGUUCCCGGGCCUUGUACACACCGCCCGUCAAGUCACGAAAGUUGGUAACACCCGAAGCCGGUGGCCUAACCCCUUGUGGGAGGGAGCUGUCGAAGGUGGGACUGGCGAUUGGGACUAAGUCGUAACAAGGUAGCCGUA
rnacentral:rRNA from 1 species